AGGUCAUUUCAAAGAGGAAUUUGGGGCCUGAAACCAAGAGCUCUUAAUGCUGUGACCAAAUAUUGAAAUUCUCCAUAGGAUAUAAUAGUUACUCAAUAGUGCCAUGGUUUCCUGAGGAGAUAGAAGA
ensembl:snoRNA small nucleolar RNA, H/ACA box 25B